CUUUAAGGUCAGCACUUAGCUUCAACCAAGAGUUAGUGAGUAUGUCAAGGAACACUAUCAUUAAUGUCAUGUUCAUAAUUGUAUUGCUAUGCUUUGUUACCUAGCCAUCUGCAUUAGAGUGUGCAUGCAGGGUGUGCUCAGGCAGCAUGGCAUCUGUGACUAGGCACUUCCUCACGCUGCCCCGGUGAGUCCCUCAGAUUACAAUUGACAGUCCUGAUCUAACUCACCAAACUGGGUUAUUGAUUUGAGUACAAGACUGAUGCCUUUGUCUGUGUGAAUGCCUGCCUGGUCGUCUGUGUAUGUGAAUGCCUGCCUGGUCGUCUGUGUAUGUGAAUGCCUGCCUGGUCGUCUGUGUAUGUGAAUGCCUGCCUGGUCGUCUGUUUAUGUGAAUGCCUGUCUGCCUCUGUCCGUCUGUCUGUGUGUGUGAAUGCCUGUCUGUCUCUGAGCAGGGUCCUAAUGCUUCAUAUCAAGCGGUUUACUGCAGGCAACUGGGAGCCAGAGAAGGUGGAUGAUCCCAUAUCCAUCCCUGCAGAACUGACCCUCCCAGCCGUAUGUGGGGCGACAGCCCCUGUCCAGCAUGGAGCCAGGGCAAGCUCCAUGGGGAAAAACAACAUGGACAACACACCUGCAAACUCCCCGAAAGGCACCCUUGAUAGACCAGAGACACCAGCCAGACAAUAUCUACAAAUUGUCAAGUGUGAUCUCACAUCUGGGAGACAACAUGUGUACAGGUAAAAUGCACGCACGCACACACAAUUCUGAAAGCUUAAUGUACACUCUAUUCUGUUUCCCUUGUUCCCUAG
rnacentral:lncRNA from 1 species